rnacentral:rRNA from 1 species
CCUGCUCAGGAUGAACGCUGGCGGCGUGCCUAAUACAUGCAAGUCGAGCGAACAGAUAAGGAGCUUGCUCCUUUGACGUUAGCGGCGGACGGGUGAGUAACACGUGGGUAACCUACCUAUAAGACUGGAAUAACUCCGGGAAACCGGGGCUAAUGCCGGAUAACAUUUAGAACCGCAUGGUUCUAAAGUGAAAGAUGGUUUUGCUAUCACUUAUAGAUGGACCCGCGCCGUAUUAGCUAGUUGGUAAGGUAAUGGCUUACCAAGGCAACGAUACGUAGCCGACCUGAGAGGGUGAUCGGCCACACUGGAACUGAGACACGGUCCAGACUCCUACGGGAGGCAGCAGUAGGGAAUCUUCCGCAAUGGGCGAAAGCCUGACGGAGCAACGCCGCGUGAGUGAUGAAGGGUUUCGGCUCGUAAAACUCUGUUAUUAGGGAAGAACAAACGUGUAAGUAACUGUGCACGUCUUGACGGUACCUAAUCAGAAAGCCACGGCUAACUACGUGCCAGCAGCCGCGGUAAUACGUAGGUGGCAAGCGUUAUCCGGAAUUAUUGGGCGUAAAGCGCGCGUAGGCGGUUUCUUAAGUCUGAUGUGAAAGCCCACGGCUCAACCGUGGAGGGUCAUUGGAAACUGGGAGACUUGAGUGCAGAAGAGGAAAGUGGAAUUCCAUGUGUAGCGGUGAAAUGCGCAGAGAUAUGGAGGAACACCAGUGGCGAAGGCGACUUUCUGGUCUGUAACUGACGCUGAUGUGCGAAAGCGUGGGGAUCAAACAGGAUUAGAUACCCUGGUAGUCCACGCCGUAAACGAUGAGUGCUAAGUGUUAGGGGGUUUCCGCCCCUUAGUGCUGCAGCUAACGCAUUAAGCA